ACUCCAGACUCCUACGGGAGGCAGCAGUGAGGAAUAUUGGUCAAUGGCCGGAAGGCUGAACCAGCCAAGUCGCGUGAGGGACGACUGCCCUAUGGGUUGUAAACCUCUUUUAUAAGGGAAGAAUAAAUGCUACGUGUAGCAUGAUGCCUGUACCUUAUGAAUAAGCAUCGGCUAACUCCGUGCCAGCAGCCGCGGUAAUACGGGGGGUGCAAGCGUUGUCCGGAAUCAUUGGGCGUAAAGCGUUCGUAGGCGGCAAGGUAAGUCUGAUGUUAAAGCCCGGGGCUCAACUCCGGUUCGGCAUUGGAUACUAUCUAGCUAGAAUGUGGUAGAGGUAAAGGGAAUUCCUGGUGUAGCGGUGAAAUGCGUAGAUAUCAGGAGGAACAUCGGUGGCGAAAGCGCUUUACUGGACCAUUAUUGACGCUGAGGAACGAAAGCCAGGGGAGCAAAUGGGAUUAGAUACCCGGGUA
rnacentral:rRNA from 1 species